AAACACAAGAAAAAAAGGAAUAAAAUUAUGAAAACUAUGAUAAAAAGGACAUAUACACGCGCACUUCCAAAAUGAUAGAGAAAUAGAAAUGUUUACAGUACACAACAAGAAGAACAUUAUAGAUCAUAUAAUGCUCAAAAUGAGCUCAGAUUUAUUCAAAAGUAAAAGCCUGAGCCGCAGAAGGGUUCUUCCCUGCACAAUGUAUAAAAUGGACAGUUGCCAUUGGCACAACGCCAAAGAAAGCCUUAGCAUAAAGCAUUGUAAUGGGCUAGUUAAGAGGGGCGAGGUACACAUUAUCCGAAUGAAUUUCAUUGAGGUAACAUUUAACAGUAAGUGCACUAGUGGAUUCAUUGAAGGAUGAGUCAUGGUCCAACAAUAAGUCUAUUUUUCUGUUUACUGGCAAAAAAUUUGAAAAGGACAAAAAAAAAAACUUCAUUCAUUGCUUACCCUAAGUUGUAUAUUUAAAGGGAAACAAUGCAGUUAAUCAAAGUAUUUCAAGCUAUUUAGCUUUACGGUGAUCUGCUGUUAUUACAACUCCCAAUUAGGUUGCAUCAUUUUCCCAAUGAUUGUGAGGGCAUUCCCAAAAGCAAAAAUUAAGGUCACAAAAUGAGAUAGAUGUACAGACAUGCAUACAAAUAUUCCACAUCUAGUCAAGCAACUUCUCAGCAGUAAGA
rnacentral:misc_RNA from 1 species